AUGCUUAUUAUUCUUUCUCCCUCCUUCCCUCUCUCUCUCUCUGUCUCUCUGUCUGUCUCUGUCUCUCUGUCUCUCUCUCUGUCUCUCUCUCUCUCUCUCUCUCUCUCUCUCUCGCUCUGUCUCUGUCUCUCUCUGUCUCUACUGUCUCUUGUCUCUGUCUCUGUCUCCCUCUGUCUCUCUCUCCCCCUCCUCUCUCUCUCUCUCUGUCUCUCUAUGUCUCUCUCUGUCUCUGUCUCUCUCUCUCUCUGUCUCUCUCCCUCCUCUCUCUGUCUCUCUCUGUCUCUGUCUCUCUGUCUCUCUCUCCCUCCUCUCUCUCUUCUCUCUCUCUCUCUGUCUCUCUCUCUGUCUCUGUCUGUCUGUGUCUGUCUCUCUCUGUCUGUCUCUCUCUGUCUCUCCCUCCACCCCACCUCUCUCUCACCCCCUCAUCUCUCUUUCUUCCUCUAUCACUAGCACCUAUUCUCUUCCAUUCCAAUAUACUCUCUCAAAUGUAAUAAGCGUUGCUCAGGAAAACGAAUCCACAUGUUACUGAUGUCUCAUUCUGCACUCCUAACCCAUCACCUCUGUGAGGAAGGGUGAAAAUAUUUCCUCAGUAGUCCUCUGGAGUCAUGUUUGGUCAUUGUUAGAAUUGAUAAAAUUUUCAAAGUUGUUUUUCUUUACAAUUUACUGUAUAAAUUGUCUUACUAGUUCUGUUCACUUCAUUCACAUGUUUCCCUGAAAGAAUUCUAAUAUAAUUUUUUGAUGGAAGAGUCUAUUACAAUUCUAUAACACAACUUUGUAGCCUACUCCCCAUUGAGGAGAAUAGUACUAAUUUCUAGUUUCUUACUACAACAAAAAGCAUCGCUAGGAAAGCUUUUGUACAUAUGAAUCUUUUCCUUUUUUUUAAAUCUUUUUGGAGUAUAAGCCAGGUAGUGCUAUAAGUGGAUAUUAAAAAGUAACUGAUUUGGCUGGGAGGAAUAUAAUUUGAAAUUGCUUUUCAAAAGUUUUUUUACUCAUCCAAUACUCCACCAACAAUAAUUUAGUGAGCUUGUACUUCCUUAGCCAAUCCAAAACCCGUCAUUUCCCCUUUUUUGAACAUUUUUGCCAAUGAUAUGGGUAUGAAAUAGAACAUCAGGGUUGUUUUAACACAUUUUUCUUAUUAUUAGUGAUUUGGAGCAUGUUUUCAUAUGGCUUUUUUCUGUUUUUUUUCGAGAACUGCCUGUCCAUAAGAAUGUUUUAACUUUUAGGAAAUACAUUUUGUUCACAUGUUUUUGAGUCAGUUCUGUAUAUUUCUUGGCUAUCAUAAACUUGCUUCCAAGAUUUUUUCCCAACUAACUUCCCCUCUAAUUUUAACUACUUCAAUUUUGCUUGUUCAAAAGGUUUUCAAUUUUGUCAUUUAAAUAGUCCGUUUUAUCUUCUAAAUAUUCUACCUAUAUUCUUACCUACAUAUCUACCUGUCUAUGUCUGCCUGUGUAGCAAAACACAAAGCAAUUACAUAAAUACAAAUGAGUAGAUAAAAUCCCAAAUAUUAUAUACACUCUAUAUUUAUUUUUAAUGAGAAUUUAUGUCUUUCCCACUGUGUUUUGUUAGGAAUAUUCAGAAAAGGUGAUGAUUUAUGUGGACUUAUUUUAAAACCUGCUACUUUGCUAUGGAUAUCGUUUCAAACAACUUUCAGUGAAUCCCUCGGGUUCUCUAAAUCAUCGUAACAUCUUUGUUAAAAAAUGAUAUUUUUUUUUUGUCUUCUGAUUAUCCUUAAAACUUUUUUUUUCUCUAACAAGCAUUUCUAGAGCUGUAUUACACUCUAGAUGAUAAUAUAUGGCCGGGCGUGACCUCUGAUUUUUUUGCAAAGACCUCUAAUAUUCUUCCAUCAUAUAUCAUGCUGAGCUUGGUUUACACAGAUAUUAUUUACUGUAUUAAGAAAAGAUCUAUUUAUUCCUUUGCUUUAAAAUUUCUUUAACAAAAUGGGUUUUGUUAAAGCGUUUUUCUGUAUUAAUAUAAUUGUAUAGUUGUUAUUCUUCAUAGUCUCACAGUGGUCUAUUAUGUAUUGGACCAACUUUGUAUUCCUGGUAUGAAUCCAAGUGGGUUAUAGUAUGUGAUUUUUUUAAUAUGUUGCUUUAGUGUCUUUGCUAAUAUUUUAUUUGAAAUGUUAAUGUUGAUGUUUAUUAAGGAUAUUGGUAUACAUUUUUUCUAUUGCUUCCUGAUUUAGGAAUCAAAAUUUAUUUGUACAAUAAACGGUAUUCUUUUUUAUUUUUGUAUGUAGUU
ensembl:lncRNA